UACAGAGGGUGCAAGCGUUGUUCGGAAUUAUUGGGCGUAAAGCGCGCGCAGGCGGUCUCUUAAGUCUGAUGUGAAAGCCCCCGGCUCAACCGGGGAGGGUCAUUGGAAACUGGGAGACUUGAGUGCAGAAGAGAAGAGUGGAAUUCCACGUGUAGCGGUGAAAUGCGUAGAGAUGUGGAGGAACACCAGUGGCGAAGGCGACUCUUUGGUCUGUAACUGACGCUGAGGCGCGAAAGCGUGGGGAGCAAACAGG
rnacentral:rRNA from 1 species